AGAGAGAGACAUGCGCGCAUAUCAAUAAGCGGAGGAAAAGAAACUAACAAGGAUUCCCUUAGUAACGGCGAGUGAAGCGGGAAGAGCUCAAAUUUGAAAUCUUCAAGGUUUUACCUUGACGAAUUGUAGUUUAAAGAAGUGUUUUCUGCUGAAGUUUUGGUAAAAGUUCUUUGGAAUAGGACAUCAUAGAGGGUGAGAAUCCCGUAUUUGACCAUUAUUUUCAGCUUUGUGAUACACUUUCAAAGAGUCGGAUUGUUUGGGAAUGCAGUCCAAAAUGGGUGGUAAAUUUCAUCUAAAGCUAAAUAUUGGCGAGAGACCGAUAGCGAACAAGUACCGUGAGGGAAGAUGAAAAGAACUUUGAAAAGAGAGUUAAACAGUACGUGAAAUUGUCAAAAGGGAAGCGUUUGACACCAGUGUUGUUUUCUCGAAAAUCAAUUAAAAAUGGCUCGAUUUUGUAUUGCUUGAGACCUUAAAAGCUCACUGUACAUUUUUCGUGUCUUUUUUAAUGCACUUUUCGUUUAACAAGUCAACAUCAGUUUCUUUUGUUGUAAAAGGGUCAUUGGAAGGUGGCUUUCUUUUCGGAGAAAGUGUUUAUAGCCUUUGGCCUCUGCAAUCGAAGAGACUGAGGUCUGCAGCGUAGACUCUUCGGGGUUAGAUACACUUGUGCUAAGUUAUAGCUUUUUAUAGACAACUUGUUGACUAUAAUUAGUCUUGUAGCUUACUCGCUUAUGCUAUUUUACCUACGCUUAGGAUGUUGAGUCGUAGAGCACGCAG
rnacentral:rRNA from 1 species